CUAAAUGUACUCUGUCUUAAAAGCUAAUCUAAUACAACGUGAAGCUAAAAAUGCUCUGUAGCUUUAAGACAAACGUUAUGGAUAGGGUUAAAAAGAGGAAGUGGGCACACAGCGGAGUUUCGUUUCCCUAAUGAAAGUUUUAAUUUGGGAUCUGAGCUUUAACACUAGAAAGGAGAAGCGCAAGUACAGUAGUACGCGACGGGGUACCAAGAAAGAAUACGCAGUUUUAUUCGUGCACAUGAUAAUACAAUAGGCCUGAAGUGCGACCGAACGACGCCGAUCCUGACAUAAUAAUGAUGGCGGAGGCCGACACGGAAGAGAACGUGUACCGUGAGGCUGUGGCAGAGUCGCCUGUUGCGCCCCCUAAUGGCGACAUUAACAUUGACGACCUGUUACCCGACGGUCCUCAGGGGAAUAUUCAAGGACAGAUGGAGGAGUUCCUGGGCCCCCAGCCGGAGUACGAUGAGGAAGAGGAGGAGAAGAAGUAUUACAGGAGGAAGAAGCUGGGCGUGGUGAAGAACGUCCUGGGGGCCAGCGUCGGGGGCAUGAUCAUAUACAGCGUCUACAUGGGCCUGUUGCAGAUGCAGCUGAUCCUCCACUAUGAUGAGACGUACAGAGAGGUGAAGUACGGUAACCUGGGUCUGGAGGACAUCGACAAGAAGAUGCUGAUGGGGAUCAACGUUACACCCAUCAUUGCACUGUUAUACACCCCCAUACUCAUCAGGUUUCUGGGCACCAAGUGGAUGAUGUUUCUGGCCAGUGGAAUUUACGCUCUCUUCGUCUCAACCAAUUACUGGGAGCGAUACUACACCCUGGUACCAUCGGCUGUGGCCAUUGGUGCAGCCAUUGUCCCGCUUUGGGCGUCAUUAGGGAACUACAUCACAAGGAUGGCCCAACAGUACUAUGAGUAUGUCAACUAUAAGGAUGAUCACGUUCAGGAACAGAAGAAACUACCCAAGGGGGCGUGUCAUCGCUAUGUCAUCGUCUUCCAAUCCGUGUUCUUCGUCAUCUUCCAUCUCAGCCUGGUGUUUGCAGAGUUCCCCCAGCGCAUCUUCCUCCACCAGUACCUUAGUGACUACAACCACACAUUGUACAAUGUUAAACACUGUGGUGCGGAGGGCAGUGGUAUGAUCGAGGGUUUCAACAGGACCGUCCUGAAGCACCUCCCUCGUUCCCUGGCGCUGAUCCAGGUGGAGAGUGUUCUCAUGGGGGCCGCCUUCCUCUCCAUGAUCAUCUUCCUGGCGGUGUGCGGGGCUGCGUACCGCCCUACAGAGGAGAUCGAUCUGAGGAGUAUCGGCUGGGGGAACAUCUUCCAGUUGCCCUUCAAACACCUGAGAGACUACAGACUGAGACUCCUCAUCCCCUUCUUCAUCUACAGUGGACUGGACACACUCUUCUCUGUCACCGGACUCACUCUGUCGUAUGGUGUGUGUACGGUGGGUCUGGAGUGGCUGUAUCUCCUGGUGAUGGUCUAUGGUCUGUCCUGCUCCCUAUUCUCCUGCCUGUCCCUGUCCCUCCUCAGGCUGCCACGCUACGUUUCUCUGCUAGGGGGCGCUGUGAUCCACGGUCCUCUGCUGGUGUUCCUGCUGUUCUGGUCCCCAGCGCCACGCUCACCUGAUCAACUGCCUUACCUGCUGGUGGUGAUCGCCCUCUGGGGAAUGGGGUCUGCAUUGAAUAAGACUGGACUCAGCAUUCUCCUGGGUAUGUUGUAUGAAGAUAAAGAGAGACUGGACUUUGUCUACACCAUCUACCACUGGUGGCAGGCUAUCGCCAUCUUCAUAGUCUACCUGUGGACUGGACUCAUCAUGAGGGCCAAACUCUCCAUUCUAUUGGUCAUCUUGCUGCUGGCAUGCUUCUGCUAUUGGACGAUGGAGCGACGCCUGUCCAAGAACAUGCAUUUCAGACUGCCUCGCAUUCCCCGCCCCAAACACAAGGUCAAAGGUUAUCGUUACCUGGAGGAGGAAAACUCAGACGAGUCGAACUCGGAGGAGAGUGAUGAGGAUGAGGAUGAAGAGCAGCAGGAGGAGGUGAUCAGGGAGGACUUCGGCGGAGACGCAGGGUCGCAGGGCUCUGAUUCGACCAGGGAGAGGAGGGGAGGGGCUAGGGGUCGGCGCAGGAGGCGAGACGAUGAUUACGAGCAAGCAGGGGAAAGGGAGGAGAGAGAGAAGGAGGGAUAGAGAGAGGGAGAGGGAUAGAGAAAGAAGGAGGAGAUUUAAAGAAGAGUGAAAGAGUGAAAAAUAGUGAGAGAGCGAGAGACAGAGAGAGAGCGAGUCCUCUAGGUAUCCUCUAGCUGUCCUCUAGGUAUCCUCUAGGUAUCCUCUAGCUGUCCUCUAGGUAUCCUCUAGGUAUCCUCUAGGUAUCCUCUAGCUGUCCUCUAGGUAUCCUCUAGGUAUCCUCUAGGUAUCCUCUACUCUAGGUGUUCUCUAGGUAUCCUCUAGGUAUCCUCUAGGUGUCCUCUACUCUAGGUGUUCUCUAGGUAUCCUCUAGGUAUCCUCUAGGUGUCCUCUACUCUAGCUGUUCUCUAGCUAUCCUCUACUCUAGGUGUUCUCUAGGUAUCCUUUAGCUGUCCUCUAGGUAUCCUUUAGCUGUCCUCUAGGUAUCCUCUAGGUAUCCUCUAGGUGUCCUCUACUCUAGGUGUUCUCUAGGUAUCCUUUAGGUGUUCUCUAGGUAUCCUCUAGCUGUCCUCUAGGUAUCCUCUAGCUGUCCUCUAGGUAUCCUCUAGGUAUCCUCUAGGUGUCCUCUAGGUAUCCUCUAGGUAUCCUCUAGCUGUCCUCUAGGUAUCCUCUAGGUAUCCUCUAGGUGUCCUCUAGCUAUCCUCUAGGUAUCCUCUAGCUGUGCUCUAGGUGUCCUCUAGCUAUCCUCUAGGUACUUUCCCCAGCCCAGCUCUCUUUCAUCAGUGCAGAUCAAGGAAAGGAGUUGAAUCAGAAGAAGAGACAAAACGGGUGUGUCUCAAAUGUAACCCUUUUCACUUCAUAGUGCCCUACUUUUGACCCCGAACUUUAACCUUGGUCAAAAGUUGUGCACUAUGAAUAAGGUCCCAUUUGGAACGCAGACAAUACUGUAUGUCUAGGCUAUUGACACGCACCUAGAGGGGGAUUGACAUAUAGAUAAUUGAAGAGGUUCAUCCACAGGAGGAUAAAACAGAGUGGUACAGGAGGAUAAAACAGAGCGGUACAGGAGGAUAAAACAGAGCGGUACAGGAGGAUAAAACAGAGCGGUACAGGGGGAUAAAACAGAGCGGUACAGGAGGAUAAAACAGAGCGGUACAGGAGGAUAAAACAGAGCGGUACAGGAGGAUAAAACAAGGGUACAGGAGGAUAAAACAGAGCGGUACAGGAGGAUAAAACAGCGGUAGAGGAGGAUAAAACAGAGCAGUACAGGAGGAUAAAACAGAGCGGUACAGGAGGAUAAAACAGAGCAGUACAGGAGGAUAAAACAAGGGUACAGGAGGAUAAAACAGAGCUGUACAGGAGGAAAGAGAAGAACGGGGAUUUUACACAGAAAGAAAGAGGAUGAAGAGAGGACAGGAAUUCAGUUUCGAAGGUUUCUCAUAACACAACUGAAAAGGGAAGAAGUUAUUUACUCCACUUCAAAUAUGAACCAGUUUCCUUCCAAUGCAUGAUCACAUGGGGUGUGGCCCAAUUGUCACACUAUUCACUAUAUAGUGCACUCAUUUUGAACAGGGCCCAUUUGGGCUCUGGUCAAAAGUAGUGUACUAUAUAGGGAAUGGGGUGCCAUUUCGGACUCACCCGUACUGUAUAGACACCUGAAACAUAUGUGCAGUUAAGUACGUCACAGGCACUUUUGACAGGGCACAUACAGGGCUCUGAUCAAAAGUAGUGCACUAUAGAGGGAAUAAGGUGCCAUCUGGGACACAGCCUUUGUAUUUCAACAGUAUCACUGUAUUGUAUUGUUAGUCAGCUGUGUUGUCAUGGUUCCUAGCUCAGGUGUUUUGAGUGGCCUACAUUUUGUUGUUUUUUGUAAGGAAUUUAUUCAAUCAAUGAUUUUGAAAAAAUGUAAUUAUAGUCAUGAAUUAUAAUGAGAAUAUAUUGAUUGUAAUUGUUUUUUUUAUGACUGAAGUGAGUUUUGAAGUUGUUUUCUGAGUAUAAAGCUGGUUUUGAGCCUCUU